UCACCUGCUGGGCCCAACUUUGCUCAUGCCUGGCCUACACUGUAGAAUUGAUGCAUUGACCCCUUUAACUGCCUUAGCUCAAUGCGAUGCAAUCCUAGGGUUUGUAGUGACACUCUGGCAGAGAAGGCUCAAGACCUUAUAAAACUACAGCUCCCACUAUUCCAUUGCACUAACUAAACCAUAGCAGUUAAAGUGGAAUUCAUUCUAUAGUGUGGGUGACCCCUAAGAUCCUGCUUGAAAACAUCUAUGCCGAAGACUUUCCGCCCAUUUAUCCUUCCUCCCUUUUCACUGCAUUCUGCGUGACAACUCUCCCUGGAGCCACUUCAUGACAGCUUCUAUAGCUCUGCCUACAACUCAUGAUACAGAGGACAAAGUGAUACAUUCUAGCACUUACCCAGUCUUUGGAAAACAAAGAGGGUCUGCAGUCCAUCAGUCCAAACAAAAUAAUUGGAACUUCUCCAGCGGAGGUUCUGUAGGAAAUACAUUAUAAAGUGUUAAAAAGCAAUCCUUUAACAAGAAAACAAAUUCAACAUGAAAAAUUGUUCCUCCUGCAACAUAAAGCUCACCAACUUCCCAUCCAGUCUUUUAAAAAAAUUACUCUUCUAUCAAGCUUCUCUAGACCAGAGACACUGCUUCUACAAUUAGAUACAGUAAUUUCUACAACUUUGAAUAUAGUAAUUAAAAAACCUUUAAAAAUAAAUUCAACAAUCUAGAACAAA